rnacentral:rRNA from 1 species
CCUACGGGAGGCAGCAGUGGGGAAUAUUGGGCAAUGGAGGAAACUCUGACCCAGCAACGCCGCGUGAAGGAUGAAGGUUUUCGGAUUGUAAACCUCUUUUGCGAGGGAUGAAAAAUGACGGACCCUCGUGAGGAAGCGCCGGCAAACUACGUGCCAGCAGCCGCGGUAAUACGUAGGGGGCAAGCGUUGUCCGGAAUGACUGGGCGUAAAGGGAGUGAAGGCGGCCUUUUAAGUUAUAGGUGAAAGCCCCGGGCUUAACCAAGGAACUGCCUAUAAAACUGGAGGGCUGGAGUGCAGGAGAGGUAAGCGGAAUUCCUAGUGUAGCGGUGGAAUGCGUAGAUAUUAGGAAGAACACCGGAGGCGAAGGCGGCUUACUGGACUGUAACUGACGCUGAGGCUCGAAAGCGUGGGGAGCAAACAGGAUUAGAUACCCCAGUAGUC